GACGAGGGGUCCAAGCGUUGUCCGGAAUCAUUGGGCGUAAAGAGCGUGUAGGCGGCUCGGUAAGUCCGCUGUGAAAGUCCAGGGCUCAACCCUGGAAUGCCGGUGGAAACUGUCGAGCUAGAGUCCGGAAGAGGCGAGUGGAAUCCUGGUGUAGCGGUGAAAUGCGCAGAUAUCAGGAGGAACACCAAUGGCGAAGGCAGCUCGCUGGGACGGUACUGACGCUGAGACGCGAAAGCGUGGGGAGCAACAGG
rnacentral:rRNA from 1 species